CAUUAUUGAACAUAAAAAAAAAAAUACAAAAAAAGGAAGAAAUAGAAGAAGAAGAAAGGGGUUA
rnacentral:ribozyme from 1 species